rnacentral:lncRNA from 1 species
UUUUUAAAUAAUUCAAUGAAUUUUAUAUUUAUUGUUAUACAACCAUGAUAACAACCUAAUUUUAUUUUAUCUUAUUUAUUUAUUUUUGUCUUUUUGCCAUUUCUUGGGCCGCUCCCGCAGCAUAUGGAACUUCCCAGACUAGGAGUUGAAUUGGAGCCGUAGUCCCUGACCUACACCACAGCUCAUGGCAGCACCAGAUUCUUAACCCACUGAGCGAGGCCAGGGAUCCAACCUGUGUCCUCAUGGAUACUAGUUGGGUUCAUUACCACUGAGCCACAACAGUAACUCCGUGUAAACUUUUUGAUGAUGUCCAUUCUGACUGAUGUAAGAUGGUACCUCAUUUUAGUUUUGGGGUUUUGUGUGGCGGGUGGGGGGGUGGGUGCUUAGGGCUGCACUGACGUAAUACAUGUUUUUAGUAAAGGACCACCCCCCCCCCCUUGACUAAAAAGGCAGCUGCAAGCCUUUUCAGCUAUGCUUGCCUCAUACCACCCUUCUUGUAAUAAUGUAGCAACCAUGUACCCUAUGUCCAAGCCAGAAGCCCUGCUAAUUGUGUUCCCAGCAUUGCUUAUCAGUUCUGCUUCUGUAACCUUGCUUGCUCAGUUUCUUAGGGAGGAACAGUGUCUGCUUGGGGAAGGGGGGAGGUCCGGGAUGCUUAAGAGGGAAAAUCAAGACCUUGUAAUGUAUCAAAGUUGCAGAGAACAAAGACCUGGUGCUCAGACUCUGGAGGUGACUCCUCUGAGCCCGCACCAGAGCUGAAUAAUCCUUGCUUUUCCAUAUCUCCGAGUGCUGUUUGUCUCCUUCCACUGCCAUGGUUUUUGUGGUUUCCACAACAGCACCAGCAACAUAUGCAGGUUCCCAGGCAAGGGGGCAAAUCCGAGCUGCAGCUGCUGGCCUACAUACACCACAGCCACAGCAAUGCCAGAUCCGAGUUAAGUCUUGGACCUACACCAUAGCUAAUGGCAACACUCGAUCCUUAACCCACUGAGUGAGGCCAGGGAUCGAACCCAAGUCCUCAUGGAUACUCGUCAGGUUUGUUACCAGUAAGCCACCAGGGGAACUCCCCUCAUUGUAAUGUUGAUUUUCAAUUCCCUAAUAGUGCUGUGGAGCAUCUUUUUAUGUCUUUUAUUUUUGUCUUUUUGCCACUUCUUCGGCCGCUCCCGCGGCAUAUGGAGGUUCCCAAGCUAGGGGUCGAAUUGGAACUGUAGACACCGGCCUACACCAGAGCCACAGCAAAGUGGGAUCCGAGCCGUGUCUGCAACCUACACCACAGAUCACAGCAACGCUGGAUCAUUAACCCACUGAGCAAGAGCAGGGACCGAACCCACAACCUCAUGGUUCCUAGUUGGAUUCGUUAACCACUGCGCCAUGACGGGAACUCCUUUUUAUGUGUUUUUUGCCCAGGUUUUUGUCUUUGGAGAAAUGUCUGUUUAGAUCUUCUGCCCCCUCCCCCCUUUUGGUCUUUAUAGGGCUGCAUAUGCGACACAUAGAGGCUCCCAAGCCAGGGUCUAAUCAGAGUUACAGCUGCCGGCCUUUACCACAGCCACAGCAAUGUAGAUUGGAGGUUCGUCUGUGACGUACACCACAGCUCACUGAAAGGCCAGAUCCCUAACGCACUGAGCGAGGCCAGAGAUUGAACCCGCAACCUCAUGGUUCCUGGUUAGACUCGUUUCCGCUGCGCCAUGACGGGAACUCCGAGAGCUAUUCUUUAUCCUCGAUUUUCCCUCCUGAGAGUAAAUACAAACUAGAGGUCCCCAAAAAAUCUGUUGACUCUUUUAUUCUGGCAGAGCAGGGAGUAUCUACUCUCAGUCCGUCCACAGCAGAUAUUAAAUAGCAUCCCACGAAUAAACAUCCUUCAUCUAUAAGAACCUUAUCACCACACACACCUGCAGGGUGAGCUGGGCAGUCCUGGGGUGGGUGAGUCUCAGGGUGGAAAAAAAUCAACCCAACUCUUACAAGUCAGUCAAAUAUACUAAGAAGGUAAAUCUCCAUAAGCCACUUGCAGAAGCCAGCUAGAGUCCUCCAAAGCUGGGCUGGGUCAUAACCCACCAAAAACAAUCAGCGGGGAGGGACAGAGGCGGAAAGAGGCAGCUCAAAAGUCAAGCAACUGGUGAGUCGUCCAGAUGAAGGAAAAGCAGAGCUUUCUGUCCUCUCUGAGCACCUCAAGGAGGAUUCUUGAGCCCUGUGAUCCCCUGGUAUACAGUAGAGAAAGGUUCCUAUAACAGCUACUGGCAGCAGCUUAUUUUUGCCAAGGACUCCAGGCAGGUCCGAAAGUGCAAGGUGCAUCCUGAAAUCUUCCAGUCUUCUUGGUACUUAAGAGAAUUUCCCUAGGAUGUCUGGAUGCAUGAGGUUCCAUGUCUGGCUGAUUUCUCCUCCACAAAGGCUAAUCUCCAGAGCUUUGCUCUGAAAUUGUAGAACAAGGGAAGAGGACAUUGCAUGCAUUUCGAAGACGUUUCUCCAAUUUAAAUUUAUUAGAGUUGUUGGAGUUUAGGUUAAGAGCUGAAUAACUGUCAGCAGUCACUACACUCACAAUACUCUUCCGGGUGCAUCGUUGCUUUGCAAGAUUUAAACAUUCUUUUUUGGCCGUGCCUGUAGGAUGUGGAAGUUCCCGGGCCAGGGACUGAACCCGCACCACAGCAGUAACCCAAGCCACUGCAGUGACAAUGCUGGAUCCUUAACCCGAUUUUGCCACCAGAGAACUCCCAGAUUUAAAUGUUCUUGAUAGUGGGACACAACACAAUGACACCCGGGCAGAUAAAAGGCAGAAUUCUCUGUGACUCAGGGCUUAAAAAGAGAGAAGGGCAUCAAGGAAGACCACACACUGGGCCGUCCAGCAGACACAGCAAGCAACCUGGAGCUGCAGAGAGCACCCUAUAUAUAGCAAGUCUCCUGGGGCCAGCUAGGUGUCCUAGGCUCCCUGAGGAUUGCUUGUCUGGAAUAACUUCAUGGGGUCAGGGGCAUACAGGCUGACUCUAGUUGCCUGGUACCCUGCCUCUGGGACAGAAGGAAUGGUGUACAGCAGCCCAGAGGCUGAGCGCCUGAUACAGAGAGUGGUUGGCUGUGGACUUAAUCAGCUGCUCCAAAAGGGGAAAUGAGUAGCCUCAAGCCAGGGACUCAAAGCUGGAUCAAGACACUAUUUUCAUAAAAGUACAGAGCAAAACACUGUGGAACUGCCAUAAAGACAAACAUCUAGACCACUGAAACAGAACAGAGGGCCCAGAACUGAAAGCCAGUAUACUUGAUCAAAUAAUUAACAAGAGUGUCAAGACGAUUCCAUAGAAGAACAGUCUUUCCCACAGAUUGUAGGCAAGUGGCUCUCUCCAUUCAAAUGAACAAAGUUGGACCCUGACCUUAACCACAUCCAAAAAUGUGCUCAAAAUGGAUCAGACCUAACAAGAAGAGGUAAACUCAUAAAACUCUUAGAUGAAGGCAUGGGGGAAAGCUUCAUGACAUUGGGUUUGGAAAUAACUUCUUGGCACUGACAUGAAAAGCAUAGGAAACAAAAGCAAAACUAGGUAAAGUUACAAACGUCUGUGCAAAGGACACAAUCAGCAGUGAAAAAGCAACCUAAUAAAUAGAAGACAAACAUUUGAAAAUCCUAUGUGUGAUAAGUGGUUUGUAUCUAGAUUGUAUAAAGAACUGCUAUAACGCAUCCAUAAGAACACAACUUGAUUUUAAAAGGGGCAAACAUAAGACGUUUUUACAAAGAAUGAACACAAAUGGCCAAGAAGGCAUGAUCACUAAUCAGUAGGGAAAUGCUAUAACAAAAAACAAAAAAACCCCAAAACCCACAAUGAAGGAGAAACUACCUCAUACCCAUUAGGACAGCUACUAUGAAACCUGAAAUGGAAAGCAGAAUUAAGUUGAUGAAGAUGCAGACAUUAGAACGAUGUGAAGUUUUGAUGGGAAUAUAACAUGCUCAAGCUGGUAAAACAGGUCGACAUAUUAAAAAUAGCAUGAUCACAUGAUCCAGGAAUUCUACUUCUGUUUAUACCCCCAGAAGAACUGAAAGCAGUAUUUUCAAGGAGGUAUGUGUGGAAGUUCCCUUGUGGCGCAGCAGGUUAAAGAUCCAGCAUUGCUGCAGCUGUGGCACAGGUCACAAUGUGGCAUGGGUUCAAUCCCUGGCUCAGGAACUUCCACAUGCCAAACAAACAAAAGAACAAAUCAAGGAGCUAUCUGUGCAGUCAUUUUCACAGCAGCACUUUUUGC